AUGUCGGCGCUCCUCCCGCCGCCCCACGGGCCGCGCGCCGCCGGGGACCCCAAGAAGACCGACGUCGCGGGGGGCAAGCUGCCCCCCUGCGCCGCCGGGGACCCCAAGAAGCCCGCCGCCGCCGGCGCCCGCUCCGCCGCCAAGCUCGCGCUCGCCUCCUUCCUCGGCGUCGCCUUCCUCUUCGCCGUCGACGCCUUCCUCUCCGGCGCUGGCGCCGACGGCCGGCUGCGCCACCAGUACCAGCAUUACCUCGGCGCCGGCCCCGCCGUGGGCGCCCCGCCUUCCUGGCCCUCCGUGCCCGACCCCACCAGCUUCGCCGAGGACGUCCUCGGCGGCGGCCGCGCCGAGAGCCCCCCGCCCUCCUGGCUCUCCGUGCCCAACCCCACCAACUUCACGGGCGACCUCCUUGCCCGCUGGCUCACGCCCGGGGGCUCGCCGUGCCGCGACGCCCGCACGGCCAACAUCUCCGUCCCGGCCCUUGACGGCGCCGCGGCGGCGGGGGGCGUCACCAAGCUGAGCGCCGCCGAGAUUCACGAGUUCACGUUCUGGGCGCUCGACGGCACCGGCCUGCGGCGCUGCCUCGGCGGGGACUUCUUCGAGAUUGAUCUCUCCGGGGAGGCGUGGAAGUCGCGGCCCCCCGUGGUGGACAACGGCGACGGCUCCUACACUUUCCGCCUCCAGGUUGCGCCCCGCUUCGCCGCGGGGGAGUUCCACCUCACCAUCGUCCUCCUCUUCCGCAGCUUCGAGGGCCUCAAGUUCUCCUCCGCCAGGUUCAAGUACCGCGUCGAGCUCCGCCGCACUCCUCUACUCUUCCGGCCGGGCAACGCGUCGCUCCCCGCACUGGAGACCUGCCGGGCCGCCGACUUCGCGCGCGACGUCUGGUCCGGCCGGUGGACGCGGCUCGCCAGGAACGACAGGUGCGAGGAUGUGGACGACGGCGGCCGCUACCGGUGCCUGGAGCCGGAGCACCCGUGCGAGGCACCGUGGUGCGACGGACCACUGGGCGCGCUGGAGAGCAACGGAUGGGUCUACUCGGCGCACUGCUCGUUCAAGCUCUUCACCGCCGACGCUGCGUGGCGGUGCCUUGACGGCAAGUGGCUCUUCUUCUGGGGCGAUUCCAACCAUGUCGACACCAUCCGGAACCUCCUGACCUUUGUUCUUGGCGUUGAGGACACAUCCGCAGUGACACGCCGCUUCGACGCCGUGUUCACCAAUCCCAGCGGCGAGCCGGGCACCCUGCGGAUCACAAGCAUCUUCAACGGCCAUUGGAACAUGAGCAUGAACUAUCUCGGCCUGCAUUCCCUCCGGCACAAGGGGUUCCGGCAGCUUGUCCGGUCAUACUUUGCGGGCGAUGAUCGUGUCCCCGAUGUUGUCAUCCUGAACUCUGGCCUCCAUGAUGGGUGCUACUGGAGCAGUGUCCGCGCUUACGUUCAGGCCACCGAGUAUGCCGCGCAGUUCUGGGCCGGCGUAAUGGCUAAGGUGCGGUUGCGUGGGCUUGCCGUGCCAAGGGUGUUCUACCGGACGACGGUCGCGACUGGCGGGUAUGCUCGGGACCUGGCAUUCAAUCCAAACAAGAUGGAGCUAUUCAAUGGCGUGCUCGUGGAGAAGAUGAGGCAGCAUGGCGUGCUCACAGGCGGGGUGAUAGACAACUUCGACAUGACGUUCCCAUGGCACUACGACAACCGUUGCAACGACGGCGUGCACUACGGGCGUGCACCGGCAAAGUUGGUAUGGCGGGACGGCAAGAUCGGCCACCAGUACUUCGUGGACCUCAUGCUGGGGCAUGUGCUCCUCAAUGCCAUCUGCAAUGGAUGA
rnacentral:rRNA from 1 species